rnacentral:rRNA from 1 species
GGGUUGUGAGGUUAAGCGACUAAGCGUACACGGUGGAUGCCCUGGCAGUCAGAGGCGAUGAAGGACGUGCUAAUCUGCGAAAAGCGUCGGUAAGGUGAUAUGAACCGUUAUAACCGGCGAUGUCCGAAUGGGGAAACCCAGUGCAAUUCGUUGCACUAUCGUUAACUGAAUACAUAGGUUAACGAGGCGAACCGGGGGAACUGAAACAUCUAAGUACCCCGAGGAAAAGAAAUCAACCGAGAUUCCCCCAGUAGCGGCGAGCGAACGGGGAGCAGCCCAGAGUCUGAAUCAGCUUGUGUGUUAGUGGAACGGUCUGGAAAGUCCGACGGUACAGGGUGAUAGUCCCGUACACCAAAAUGCACAGGUUGUGAACUCGAAGAGUAGGGCGGGACACGUGGUAUCCUGUCUGAAUAUGGGGGGACCAUCCUCCAAGGCUAAAUACUCCUGACUGACCGAUAGUGAACCAGUACCGUGAGGGAAAGGCGAAAAGAACCCCGGCGAGGGGAGUGAAAAAGAACCUGAAACCGUGUACGUACAAGCAGUGGGAGCACCUUCGGGUGUGACUGCGUACCUUUUGUAUAAUGGGUCAGCGACUUAUAUUCUGUAGCAAGGUUAACCGUAUAGGGGAGCCGCAGGGAAACCGAGUCUUAACUGGGCGUUAAGUUGCAGGGUAUAGACCCGAAACCCGGUGAUCUAGCCAUGGGCAGGUUGAAGGUUGGGUAACACUAACUGGAGGACCGAACCGACUAAUGUUGAAAAAUUAGCGGAUGACUUGUGGCUGGGGGUGAAAGGCCAAUCAAACCGGGAGAUAGCUGGUUCUCCCCGAAAGCUAUUUAGGUAGCGCCUCGUGAACUCAUCUUCGGGGGUAGAGCACUGUUUCGGCUAGGGGGUCAUCCCGACUUACCAACCCGAUGCAAACUACGAAUACCGAAGAAUGUUAUCACGGGAGACACACGGCGGGUGCUAACGUCCGUCGUGAAGAGGGAAACAACCCAGACCGCCAGCUAAGGUCCCAAAGUCAUGGUUAAGUGGGAAACGAUGUGGGAAGGCACAGACAGCCAGGAUGUUGGCUUAGAAGCAGCCAUCAUUUAAAGAAAGCGUAAUAGCUCACUGGUCGAGUCGGCCUGCGCGGAAGAUGUAACGGGGCUAAACCAUGCACCGAAGCUGCGGCAGCGACACUAUGUGUUGUUGGGUAGGGGAGCGUUCUGUAAGCCUGCGAAGGUGACCUGUGAGGGUUGCUGGAGGUAUCAGAAGUGCGAAUGCUGACAUAAGUAACGAUAAAGCGGGUGAAAAGCCCGCUCGCCGGAAGACCAAGGGUUCCUGUCCAACGUUAAUCGGGGCAGGGUGAGUCGACCCCUAAGGCGAGGCCGAAAGGCGUAGUCGAUGGGAAACAGGUUAAUAUUCCUGUACUUGGUGUUACUGCGAAGGGGGGACGGAGAAGGCUAUGUUAGCCGGGCGACGGUUGUCCCGGUUUAAGCAUGUAGGCUGAUUAUCCAGGCAAAUCCGGAUAAU